CGCGUAAAGAACUUGCCUCACAGAUAGGGACAACAUUUGGAAACGAAUGCUAAUACCUGAUAUUAUGAUUUUAGGGCAUCCUAGGAUUAUGAAAGCUAUAUGCGCUGUGAGAGAGCUUUGCGUCCCAUUAGCUAGUUGGAGAGGUAACGGCUCACCAAGGCGAUGAUGGGUAGCCGGCCUGAGAGGGUGAUCGGCCACAAGGGGACUGAGACACGGCCCUU
rnacentral:rRNA from 1 species